UCCAAAGUUUUGAUCAUUUCACUCAUCUUUUUUCUACUUGUUCUCAAUCUCGUGGAAGCUGAUCAAACUACUGUGGUGGGUCAUGCGCUGCCAGGUGUCGGUUAUCGUCGAGACCUCGGCUAUGCCCUCUUGAGGUCUGCCCCUGCUAUGCCAAUAUGACUGCCCAUGAUGGAAGACGCAAGUGCCCUUAACUUAAAAGCAUCCAUCAUAGUAUCUGCAUGAUCAUCAUCACAAAUAACAUAUAUCUAUAUCUCUUAAUAAUAUUUGCCAUAAAUUAUUGUAUUAAAUAAAUAAUUACGUACGGAACAUUCGCUUUUGUAUGUAAAGCUAAUAAAGAUUUAUAUAUAUAUAUAUAUUAUUUAUAUGCUAUUA